rnacentral:rRNA from 1 species
CUACGGGAGGCUCCAGUGAGGAAUAUUACACAAUGGGGGGAACCCUGAUGCAGCAACGCCGCGUGGAGGAUGACGCAUUUCGGUGUGUAAACUCCUUUUAUAUGUCAAGAAAAUGACGGUAGCAUAUGAAUAAGCACCGGCUAACUCCGUGCCAGCAGCCGCGGUAAUACGGAGGGUGCAAGCGUUACUCGGAAUCACUGGGCGUAAAGGACGCGUAGGCGGGUUGGAAAGUCAGGUGUGAAAUCCUACAGCUUAACUGUAGAACUGCACUUGAAACUUCUAAUCUAGAGUAUGGGAGGGGGAGAUGGAAUUAGUGGUGUAGGGGUGAAAUCCGUAGAUAUCACUAGGAAUACCUAAAGCGAAGGCGAUCUCCUGGAACAUUACUGACGCUAAGGCGUGAAAGCGUGGGGAGCAAACAGGAUUAGAUACCCUAGUAGUC